GACGAACGCUGGCGGCGUGCUUAACACAUGCAAGUCGAACGGAAAGGCCCUGCUUCUGUGGGGUGCUCGAGUGGCGAACGGGUGAGUAACACGUGAGUAACCUGCCCUUGACUUUGGGAUAACUUCAGGAAACUGGGGCUAAUACCGGAUAGGAGCUCCUGCUGCAUGGUGGGGGUUGGAAAGUUUGGGCGGUUGGGGAUGGACUGGCGGCUUAUCAGCUUGUUGGUGGGGUGGUGGCUUACCAAGGCUUUGACGGGUAGCCGGCCUGAGAGGGUGACCGGCCACAUUGGGACUGGGAUACGGCCCAGACUCCUACGGGAGGCAGCAGUGGGGAAUAUUGCACAAUGGGCGGAAGCCUGAUGCAGCAACGCCGCGUGCGGGAUGACGGCCUUCGGGUUGUAAACCGCUUUCGCCUGUGACGAAGCGUGAGUGACGGUAAUGGGUAAAGAAGCACCGGCUAACUACGUGCCAGCCGCCGCGGUAACAC
rnacentral:rRNA from 1 species